GAUGAACGCUAGCGGCAGGCCUAACACAUGCAAGUCGAGGGAGAAGCCCUUUCGGGGGCAGAAACCGGCGCACGGGUGCGUAACGCGUAUGCAACCUACCUUUCACAGGGGGAUAGCCCGAAGAAAUUUGGAUUAAUACCCCAUAAUAUUAUUGGAUGGCAUCAUUUGACAAUUAAAACUGCGGUGGUGAAAGAUGGGCAUGCGUCCUAUUAGCUAGUUGGAGUGGUAACGGCACCCCAAGGCUACGAUAGGUAGGGGUCCUGAGAGGGAGAUCCCCCACACUGGUACUGAGACAGGGACCAGACUCCUACGGGAGGCAGCAGUGAGGAAUAUUGGUCAAUGGUCGGAAGACUGAACCAGCCGUGCCGCGUGCAGGAAGAAUGCCUUAUGGGUUGUAAACUGCUUUUAUAUGGGAAGAAUAAGGCGUAUCGUGUACGUUGAAAGAACGGUACCCAUAUGAAUAAGC
rnacentral:rRNA from 1 species